rnacentral:lncRNA from 1 species
AAAAAAUUUGUGAAAAGAUAAACUACAAAAAUGACAGAAAAUCCAACAAAUGCAAGGUUUAAUUAGAGAAAUCAGACAACAUAUGCAAAUUUCACACACAAUUUAAUUAAUGUUCAAAGUAUAAUCUCUUUUUCAUCUUUUCCUUUAUUGGCAGAAAAACACUUAUCUCCAAACUUUUCAUUCUCUAGAAAUCAUCACCAUCAUAACCACCAUCAUCAUCAUCAUAACCAAGAUCAUCUUCAACUUUAUCAGCUGCAUCAUCAGCAAUCUUAUCCUCAAGAUACUCAGCACCUUCCACAAGUGCAACUCCACCUAACACCCCAGCAACUGCACCCACAGCCAAUCCUGUCCCCAUCCCACCAAACUUACUUUUCUUCUUUUCCUCCACUUGUCCAUACCCAUAACUACUCCCUUGUCCAUAUGACGACCCGUACCCUGGCUCAUACCCAGUAGUCUGAGGCCCCGCAUUAUAAGGAUAACCACCAGGUGGCGCAGUUUGAGGCCCUGCAUUAUAAGGAUACCCUCCAGGUGGCGCUGCAGAAUAACCAUAAUUCUGCGGCGGUGCACCAUAAGGGUUUCCAUAUCCAGGAGCAGAGGGAUUAUAAUUAUAAUCCCUCGACGACGCCUGAGGUGGAGGAACACCAUAAGGAGGAGCGUAGUACUCACCCGACCCACGAUAGCCUGGCUCUCUAAUUAUUACUUUAACAUCAACUUUCCCAUGUGGUCUUCCUGAUGGUCUUUUCAACGUUAGGGAUCGGCUGGCACGCUCGCCGAUCCCAACAUCAUCUAGAACUUCAACUAAUUUAAGCCGAGCUGAGCCGAUGAGUGGCUUGGUGUCUGGCUCCGAGCCGGCAUGAACGAUGUCGAUGUAAAGAGUAAGAUCUUCAAUAGGUUGAGGUGGUAAAGGGAUUAUGAGAGUUUGGUCCCAAUUUGCUUCUGUGUCUCCAUUUUCAUCAACUUUGGUUGAGAAUUUGUUCUUUGGAUCAAUCCAUACGACGCCAUAUGGUUUGUUUGAGCCGUUACGCCAGUUCACGUUUUUGAGAUUGUAAGCUGAUGAAAGUUUCACUUCAGCUUCAUAGCGUGAAGCCAUUUUAAUUUUUUUAUGUUUGUGUUGAAUUUGAGAAUGUGAUUAUGUGAUGAAACUUUGGUGUCUAAAAUUGAUUUUAUAGGUGAAGAGUAAGAGUGGAGAUUGGUUUAUUUUAGUCCAAAGUUUU